UGUUUGGUACAGUUGUACCAGAACGUGUGCGCGACGGCGGAGACUGCCACCCGGUGCGCUCGU
rnacentral:ncRNA from 1 species